UAGUAAUCGCGCAUCAGCCAUGGCGCGGUGAAUACGUUCCCGGGCCUUGUACACACCGCCCGUCACACCAUGAGAGUUGGGAAUACCCGAAGCCUGUGAGCUAACUUUUAGAGGCAGCAGUCGAAGGUAGAAUCAAUGAUUGGGGUGAAGUCGUAACAAGGUAGC
rnacentral:rRNA from 1 species